rnacentral:rRNA from 1 species
GACCAGACUCCUACGGGAGGCAGCAGUGGGGAAUAUUGGGCAGUGGGCGCAAGCCUGACCCAGCAACGCCGCGUGAAGGAAGAAGGCUUUCGGGUUGUAAACUUCUUUUCUCAGGGACGAAGCAAGUGACGGUACCUGAGGAAUAAGCCACGGCUAACUACGUGCCAGCAGCCGCGGUAAUACGUAGGUGGCAAGCGUUAUCCGGAUUUAUUGGGUUUAAAGGGAGCGUAGGCCGGCUUUUAAGUCAGCUGUGAAAGUCCGCGGCUCAACCGUGGAAUUGCAGUUGAAACUGGAGGCCUUGAGUGCACACAGGGAUGCCGGAAUUCAUGGUGUAGCGGUGAAAUGCUUAGAUAUCAUGAAGAACUCCGAUCGCGAAGGCAAGUGUCCGGGGUGCAACUGACUCUGAGGCUCGAAAGUGCGGGUAUCAAACAGGAUUAGAUACCCUCGUAA